rnacentral:rRNA from 1 species
AAGUAACUAACAGGAUUCCCCUAGUAACUGCGAGUGAAGCGGGAAAAGCUCAAAUUUAAAAUCUGGCGGUCUUUGGCCGUCCGAGUUGUAGUCUGGAGAAGUGCUUUCCGCGCUGGACCGUGUAUAAGUCUCUUGGAACAGAGCGUCAUAGAGGGUGAGAAUCCCGUCUUUGACACGGACUACCAGUGCUUUGUGAUGCGCUCUCAAAGAGUCGAGUUGUUUGGGAAUGCAGCUCAAAAUGGGUGGUGAAUUCCAUCUAAAGCUAAAUAUUGGCGAGAGACCGAUAGCGAACAAGUACCGUGAGGGAAAGAUGAAAAGCACUUUGGAAAGAGAGUUAAACAGUACGUGAAAUUGCUGAAAGGGAAACGCUUGAAGUCAGUCGCGUUGUCUGGGACUCAGCCUUGCUUUUGCUUGGUGCACUUUCCGGAUGACGGGCCAGCAUCGAUUUUGACCGUCGGAAAAGGGCUAGGGUAAUGUGGCACCUCCGGGUGUGUUAUAGACUUUAGUCGCAUACGGCGGUCGGGAUCGAGGAACGCAGCGCGCCGUAAGGCAGGGGUUCGCCCACUUUCGCGCUUAGGAUGCUGGCGUAAUGGCUUUAAACGACCCGUCUUGAAACACGGACCAAGGAGUCUAACAUACCUGCGAGUGUUUGGGUGGAAAACCCGAGCGCGUAAUGAAAGUGAAAGUUGAGACCUCUGUCGUGGAGGGCAUCGACGCCCGGACCUGACGUUCUCUGACGGAUCCGCGGUAGAGCAUGUAUGUUGGGACCCGAAAGAUGGUGAACUAUGCCUGAAUAGGGUGAAGCCAGAGGAAACUUUGGUGGAGGCUCGUAGCGAUUUUGACGUGCAAAUCGAUCGUCAAAUUUGGGUAUAGGGGCGAAAGACUAAUCGAACCAUCUUGUGG